AUCUUAAGGUGAAGAGAGCAGUGAUAAUUAUAGCUAUUCUGAUUGGAUUAACUUGUGGGAUGAUUUUAAUUGGCUUUUACAUUUGCAAGUGGAGAGCAUUUUAUGGAAAUCAAAUCCUUGUUUCCUACCGAUUGCAGUCCAUUCUAAGCUGGUUUUGGAAAUAGAGAUGCAGAUGAAGUUAGCUACCUUAAGGUCAGAAUUCCACUAGGAAAAAAUUACUAUGCCUGAAAAUGAGCAAAGUCAGAACUGAAAGAGCUUCUUCAGAGCUUUGGAAGGUUGCGGGUUUAGCUGUUGUUUGUGUUAUAUGUUUCACCUCUAAUGCUUUUGCAGGCAGCAAGAGCAGCUGAUUAUAUUAUUGGGAGUAAGUUGCUGAUACCUAAACCCCUCCUCUCACUUUUUGGAAACUUGACAGAACGAAUAGGGUAGAGUGAUUUCUUUGGAGAAAUUCUUGACAAUAUUUGUAGUUGAGGCCUUUAGAAUGGAAGAAUGUAUUUCACUAAUUUUUGUAUACAUUUCUUGUUUUGUAUUUAGUGAUAAAGGAAUCUGAAUUGGGCAUAAAUUAUGUUGUAAUAUGAUUUCUUAAGCCUAGACUAGUAGACUAAAUAUUUUAAUUACAUUUGA